CAGCGCCACAAGUGGCAACCACGUUUAUUGGGCCUAAAGCGUCCGUAGCCGGUUUGGUUAAUCUCUUGUGAAAUCGACAAGCUUAACUUGUCGGCGUGCUUGAGACACUGCCAAACUAGAGACCGGGAGGAGUCAGAGGUAUUCCAGGGGGAGCGGUAAAAUGUGAUAAUCCUUGGAGGACCAUCUAUGGCGAAGGCAUCUGACCAGAACGGAUCUGACGGUGAGGGACGAAGGCUAGGGGAGCGAACCGGAUUAGAUACCCGAGUAGUCC
rnacentral:rRNA from 1 species